rnacentral:rRNA from 1 species
UACAGAGGGUGCGAGCGUUAAUCGGAAUUACUGGGCGUAAAGCGCGCGUAGCCGGCUUUUCAAGUCGGAUGUGAAAUCCCCGGGCUUAACCUGGGAACUGCAUUCGAGACUGUCUAGCUAGAGUAUGGGAGAGGGAAGCGGAAUUUCAGGUGUAGCGGUGAAAUGCGUAGAUAUCUGAAGGAACAUCAGUGGCGAAAGCGACUUCCUGGACCAAUACUGACGCUCAUGUGCGAAAGCGUGGGGAGCAAACAGG